rnacentral:rRNA from 1 species
GACGAACGCUGGCGGCGUGCUUAACACAUGCAAGUCGAACGGAAAGGCGCUGCUUUUGUGGGUCGCUCGAGUGGCGAACGGGUGAGUAUCACGUGAGUAACCUGUCCUUGUCUUUGGGAUAACUUCAGGAAACUGGGGCUCAUACCGGAUAGGAGCUCCUGCAGCAUGGGGGGGAUUGGAAAGUUUCGGCGGUUGUGGAUGGACUCGCUGCUUAUCGGCUUGUUUGUGUGGUAGUGGCUUACCAAGGCUUUGACGGGUAGCCGGCCUGAGAGGGUUACCGGCGACAUUGGGACUGAGAUAGGGCCCAGACUCGUACGGGACGCAGCAGUGGGGAAUAUUGCACAAUGGGCGGAAGCCAGAUGCAGCAACGCCGCGUGCGGGAUGACGGCCUUCGGGUGGUAAACCGCUUUCUCCUGUGACGAGGAGUGAGUGACGGUAAUGGGUAAAGAAGCACCGGCUAACUACGUG